GCGAGGCCACGAGAGAAAGCCAGAGAGCCCAGAAAGAGUAAAGCUUUGUGGGGGACUAGCGGGGCUGCCUGCCUCUUGGCCCCCAGACCUCCUGCCUGUCCUGCACCUGGUUACCUGACUACAAAUGGUGUAGAAAGAUUAUUAAAAGCCUGAAAAAACCACCGAGGACUCCAGGACCCUCCUUUUCCCAUCUGUCCGAUCACAGAAAACCUUCUCCAUGCCCUGCUGGCACUACACCCCUCACAUCUGUGUUUCAGCAGCAACAUAGGAAAGACUAUAUCAGCACCUGUUUUCGAAACUGAAAGAAAUCCAGAGGAUUUCCACUUUCACAGAAGAUGUAAAGCGAAAACAGUUUGCAGAGCUGUGUCACAGCAGCAGGUAGAGACCGUGGCACCGCAGCAGCGAGAGUCCAACCAAGAGCCUCCCCGGGAGCUGCAUAAAACAGGGUUCCAGAGACCUCCAAAGAAGGUGAGGAAGCUGCCUCCAUUGGCAGGACUGGAUGACUGGGAAAAAAGCAAAAGACCUGGUAAACCUUGAGACGAGGACACACCAGGUGGAGUCUGAUGGUUUUCUUUUGGCAUGGACUUCACUAUCUUCCAGGAAUAGAGGACUUUUGUUUGCCACACUUGACAAAACCUGGAGACUGUGGUUUUCCUUCUAAACUGGAACCCUGAGAAAUUAUCAUCUGAGCCUGAACCCCAGCAUAUACACAUCUGACCUUCAUCAACAUAAAAAUAAUGGGGGCAACAAGUGAAAGGGGGGAAUUGUUGGGGAGAAAGGAUGCCCUGAACGAACUCUACUACACAGGUUUAUGUGGACUCCUACCCCCCUCUCCAGAGGAAACACCAGGAACUACAAAUCCCAUAAUGCCAUCAUCAUCAUGGAAAGAUGGACUGGAGGGAACUGAGGGUAGAGUUAAGCAGUCAGGCCCAGGUAUAUAACCUGAUAGGUGGAGCUUGGGGGUUCUCUUAGGCAUUUUGCCAGCUCUCCGUGUGCCAUGAGGGAUUCCAACUCAGUGGAGCUAGUAGAAUGCAUUCACCAAUUUGUCUCCCUCUCCUUGAGUUCUUCAUUCCCCCUUCUUUUGUAAAUAAACCAUUU